GACGGAGGGGGCUAGCGUUGUUCGAAUACUGGGCGUAAAGCGCACGUAGGCGGCUUUGUAAGUUAGAGGUGAAAGCCCGGGGCUCAACUCCGGAAUUGCCUUUAAGACUGCAUCGCUAGAAUUGUGGAGAGGUAAGUGGAAUUCCGAGUGUAGAGGUAGAAAUUCGUAGAUAUUCGGAAGGAACACCAGUGGCGAAGGCGACUUACUGGACACAU
rnacentral:rRNA from 1 species